rnacentral:RNase_MRP_RNA from 1 species
GAGGCGCUUGCUGAAGGCCUGUUGCCUAGGCUACGAACGGGGGAUCUGUUCCUCACCCUGCGCCUAGGGGAAAGUCCCCGGACCUCGGGCAGAAAGUGCCGCGCGCGCUUGUGCGUUUGGCCGCCGUCGCAGCUCCAGUACUCCCGCUAAGAAGCACCUCCACUUCCGUGGAAGCGCUGAGCGGAAGGAGCGCGGCGAAGGUCGUGUUUAGUCAAGAAAAUAGUUACGCAGGCAGUGCGCCUCAUGCGCGCUAACUCAACGGGGCUCAUUCUCAGCGCGUCU